rnacentral:rRNA from 1 species
UACGAAGGGGGCUAGCGUUGCUCGGAAUCACUGGGCGUAAAGGGUGCGUAGGCGGGUCUUUAAGUCAGGGGUGAAAUCCUGGAGCUCAACUCCAGAACUGCCUUCGAUACUGAGGAUCUCGAGUCCGGGAGAGGUGAGUGGAACUGCGAGUGUAGAGGUGAAAUUCGUAGAUAUUCGCAAGAACACCAGUGGCGAAGGCGGCUCACUGGCCCGGUACUGACGCUGAGGUGCGAAAGCGUGGGGAGCAAACAGG